rnacentral:lncRNA from 1 species
CAGGCGGGGCUUGGGGCAAGGCCCAGUGCCUGCCUAGUGUCCCCACGAAGGGAGAGCAGGAGACCCACAUGGGGGAUGCCUGGAGCAAAGGGGAAGGGAGGAGGCUCAUGGACCCUCCCUGCUCAGAGUUCCCCCCGCUCUACGUCCCUCUGUGUUAAAGGUAAAGGCCCUACCUGUGCUCAGGUACCCUCUCCUCCCAAGCCACCUGGCCUCCUCACUCUGCUUCCCUCCUUAGCAGUUCUGCCCUCCUCACUGACCAAGACAUUUCUCUGUGCACACUCUGGGGGGGGGCCCGAGGCCUGCCCUCUCGGCAGGAGGACGAAUGCUGGGGAGGCAGGGACCGCGCUGCCCUGGGCACAUGCCCAUUCCCCUGGAGCCCCAGGCCCUGCUCUCCAUGCCAGGACACAGGCAGGGUCAGCAAAGGUGAAGGCGGGAACACAGGAGGCCGAGAGCCACAGAUACUGCCCAAGAGGAGCCUCCUGAGCGGCCAUCUGAGAGGAAGCCUCUCCCUGCCAAGGACGCCCAACAGGCCCUACCUGGCGAUGAGCAGCUCCACCAGGUGCAGGUGGCCGCAGGUGGCCGCAGCAUGCAGAGGCGUCCAGCACUCACUGUCACAGGCAUUGAUGUUGGCCCCAGCCUCCAGGAGCUGCUGCACCAUCUCUCGGAAAUCAUCAAUGCAGCACUGCAAACCGUGCCACGUGAGCGACCAGAGCACGGGGGCCAGCCCCCACCCUGCCCACACCCAGUGCAGGCUGACCUGGUGCAGGGCCGUCAGGCCGUCCUCGUUGGCCAAGUCAGGGCUGACCCCACUCCCAAGGAACUGGCGGACUGCAAAAAGGUGGCGAGGCCUCCCGGGAGGGCUCCUGUCCACAUGGAAAGAUGCAGGCCAGACACUGCCGGCUCCUCUUUACUCUCUGCUCCGGAGGGAGGCAGGAAGGAGUCUCAAGGGCCACCACAGUGCCUCUUCCCCCAAGACUCCAGAGCACCAGAAGUGGAACCCACACAGCUGGGGCUGCAAGCGUGGGGCACAGGUCAUUUCGGGCAGCGGCCUCCAGAAGGACAACACUGGGAGGGAAGAGGACCUGCUUCAGGAGCCCUUGGCUGGCUGCCUCCU